rnacentral:lncRNA from 1 species
CUGGUAUUGGCAUAUAAUCUGGGGAAAAGUUUUUAAAAAGAAGUUUGUUUCCAGGUGCUUUUCUUGAUUAUCUCACUGUCAUCAGUUAUCACCAGCUGCCAACUAUCAGAAGAUAAUAAAGAAGACAAAGCUCAAAAUAGUUUUUAUAGAGCUUAGAACUGACUGAGGUGUGAUUGAGAAACAAAUAGCUCUUAUCACCUAGCUGUAUACCUGCCCAGGGAAACCUUAGAGAAAACCACCUGUUAUCUCCUCCAUUUGAAAUUCACAGGGAGAAGAGCCAGAUGAAGAGAGAGGACAAAGAAGGAUGUAAAUGAGCUUGGAGGCUUUUUUUUUUUGGUUUGUUUUCCUUUUGUUUUUCCUGAAGGGCUUCUCAAAGACAUCUGUUGGCUGAGGUUACUGUCUGUACUAGGUGCAAUUAGGACACUGGCAAGGGUCUGCUAAUUACUGAUUGUUCAAAUCUGCUAGACUAGAAAAUAAGGUGAGAAAGUGUCAGAGAAGAGACCCUGGGCAGACUAUAAAACCUGAGCCUCCUGAGUCCUAGGCUGCAAUGAAUAGCCUUGGCAAACUAGUACUGUAGUUUAUUGCUCUGGGAGUGAGUCUCUAGGAAAUGCUCCAGGUGAAGGAAGCAUGGAGAGUAAAGGAAGAAUUCUUUGGACCAGUAAAUAUUGUGCCAUCUUUCUUUUUCUGCCAGAACCAUAACUGGGAUGUUAAGGUGAUGCCACAGAUGCCAAUAUCUGGAAACAACUCUUCCAUAGGAAUUGACGACUUCCUGCUACUGACCAUGAUGAUGCAUAUGCCUUUCUCUUUACUAAAGCCUUUUACUCUUGGAGUCAUUAAGCUUUGGAGUACUAUGAAGGAAGAACUAUGUGAGAGGAAGACUGGCUCUAUACUAAAGGGAAAGUAGAUUGGCUAAUCCUGUUCCUACUGUUACUGCCAUGUGGCUGCAUGAGGUAUUGAAGGAAAUGUAGGAUUAUUGGAAAAAUUUUGUAUGUAGUAAGAACUUAUGAAAUAUACAUUUACUUAAAUCAUGGGAUCUGUUGUUCACAUUCCUACUAAUCUAGACUGAGUGGUUUUAACUAAGAUUGUUUUAUUGACAAUUUAACAAUUAUUUAAUGAAUUAAUAGAAUCAGCUAUCAAAAUUUAAGUUAGCUAUUAAUAUAUCAUCAUAAUUUUAUAUAGUGUUGAGUGGGGUGUAAUUUGUUUUAUUUACUUGUAUUAUUUCUUUGGACACUCACAAUAAUCCUACGAGGUAUAUCUAAUAAUUAUUAUCACCAUUUCACAUUUGAGCAAACUGGAGAUUAAAGUUGACUUACCCAAGAUGACAAAAUAAGUAAGAGGCAGAAUCAGAUAUUAAAGCCUGACUAUUUUAUCUCAAACAUUCAAGCAUUUUUCAACUAAAUUCUUUUAAAAAAACAUUGAUGUCCAUAGUUGAGUGCUACAAGCUUUUAAAUAAACAUAAAAUUUGAAUAUAAGGCCCA